rnacentral:rRNA from 1 species
CCUACGGGAGGCAGCAGUGAGGAAUCUUGGUCAAUGGACGAGAGUCUGAACCAGCCACGUAGCGUGAAGGAUGACUGCCCUAUGGGUUGUAAACUUCUUUUAUAUGGGAAUAAAAUGUUCCACGUGUGGGAUUUUGUAUGUACCAUAUGAAUAAGGAUCGGCUAACUCCGUGCCAGCAGCCGCGGUAAUACGGAGGAUCCGAUCGUUAUCCGGAUUUAUUGGGUUUAAUGGGAGCGUAGGUGGAUUGUUAAGUCAGUUGUGAAAGUUUGCGGCUCAACCGUAAGAGUGCAGUUGAAACUGGCAGUCUUGAGUACAGUAGAGGUAGGCGGAAUUCGUGGUGUAGCGGUGAAAUGCGUAGAUAUCACGAAGAACUCCGAGUGCGAAGGCAGCUCACUGGACUGCAACUGACACUGAGGCUCGAAAGUGUGGGUAGCAAACAGGAUUAGAUACCCUUGUAGUC